rnacentral:rRNA from 1 species
UAGUCCACGCCGUAAACGAUGAAUGCUCGAUGUUGGUGGUGUAAGCCAUCAGUAUCACAGCUAACGCGAUAAGCAUUCCGCCUGGGGAGUACGGUCGCAAGAUUAAAACUCAAAGGAAUUGACGGGGAUCCGCACAAGCGGUGGAGUAUGUGGUUUAAUUCGAGGCUACGCGAAGAACCUUACCAACCUUUGCAUAUACACAGAGUUUUCCUGAAAGGGAGAGCGCAUUUAGUUGGGUGUAAACAGGUGCUGCAUGGCUGUCGUCAGUUCGUGUCGUGAGAUGUUGGGUUAAGUCCCGCAACGAACGAAACCCUUUUGUUAGUUACCAGCGCGUUAUGGCGGGGACUUUAACAAUACUGCCGGUGACAAACCGGAGGAAGGUGGGGGACGACGUCAAGUCAUCAUGGCCCUUAUAGGUUGGGCUACACACGUACUACAAUGGUAGUGACAAAAGGAAGCGAUACCGUAAGGUGGAGCAAAUCCCAAAAAACUAUACUCAGUUCGGAUUGUCCUCUGCAA